rnacentral:rRNA from 1 species
UACAGAGGGGGCAAGCGUUGUUCGGAAUUACUGGGCGUAAAGGGCGCGUAGGCGGUCCGUCACGUCGGGAGUGAAAUCCUGGGGCUUAACCCCAGAACUGCUUCCGAUACGGGCAGACUAGAGGUAGGUAGGGGAGAAUGGAAUUCCUGGUGUAGCGGUGGAAUGCGCAGAUAUCAGGAGGAACACCAGUGGCGAAGGCGGUUCUCUGGGCCUUACCUGACGCUGAGGAGCGAAAGCGUGGGGAGCAAACAGG